rnacentral:rRNA from 1 species
GACGAACCGUGCGAACGUUGUUCGGAUUCACUGGGCUUAAAGGGCGCGUAGGCGGGUUUUCAAGUCUGGGGUGAAAUACUCUCGCUCAACGAGAGAACUGCCCCGGAUACUGGAGACCUCGAGGGAGGUAGGGGCAUGUGGAACUUCCGGUGGAGCGGUGAAAUGCGUAGAUAUCGGAAGGAACGCCGGUGGCGAAAGCGACGUGCUGGACCUCUUCUGACGCUGAGGCGCGAAAGCCAGGGGAGCAAACGGG